rnacentral:rRNA from 1 species
GAUGAACGCUGGCGGCGUGCCUAAUACAUGCAAGUCGAGCGAACAGAUGAGGAGCUUGCUCCUCUGACGUUAGCGGCGGACGGGUGAGUAACACGUGGAUAACCUACCUAUAAGACUGGGAUAACUUCGGGAAACCGGAGCUAAUACCGGAUAAUAUAUUGAACCGCAUGGUUCAAUAGUGAAAGACGGUUUUGCUGUCACUUAUAGAUGGAUCCGCGCCGCAUUAGCUAGUUGGUAAGGUAACGGCUUACCAAGGCAACGAUGCGUAGCCGACCUGAGAGGGUGAUCGGCCACACUGGAACUGAGACACGGUCCAGACUCCUACGGGAGGCAGCAGUAGGGAAUCUUCCGCAAUGGGCGAAAGCCUGACGGAGCAACGCCGCGUGAGUGAUGAAGGUCUUCGGAUCGUAAAACUCUGUUAUUAGGGAAGAACAAAUGUGUGAGUAACUAUGCACGUCUUGACGGUACCUAAUCAGAAAGCCACGGCUAACUACGUG